AUUGAACGCUGGCGGCAGGCCUAACACAUGCAAGUCGAGCGGUAGAGAGAAGCUUGCUUCUCUUGUGAGCGGCGGACGGGUGAGUAAUGCCUAGGAAUCUGCCUGGUAGUGGGGGAUAAACGUUCGGAAACGGACGCUAAUACCGCAUACGUCCUACGGGGAGAAAGCAGGGGACCUUCGGGCCUUGCGCUAUCAGAUGAGCCUAGGUCGGAUUAGCUAGUUGGUGAGGUAAUGGCUCACCAAGGCGACGAUCCGUAACUGGUCUGAGAGGAUGAUCAGUCACACUGGAACUGAGACACGGUCCAGACUCCUACGGGAGGCAGCAGUGGGGAAUAUUGGACAAUGGGCGAAAGCCUGAUCCAGCCAUGCCGCGUGUGUGAAGAAGGUCUUCGGAUUGUAAAGCACUUUAAGUUGGG
rnacentral:rRNA from 1 species